rnacentral:tRNA from 1 species
GGCGUGAUCGCUGGGCUUGGAACUGAAGGCUAUCAGCUUGCAAUCCGCCGGGUGGCAAGCCUGAUCACGUCU